ensembl:lincRNA Gm28493 predicted gene 28493
UGAAAAGAAGUUCACAAGGCAAAUGUUUGAGGAUAACUAAGGCUCAAGGCAGUAUAUGUCUGAGGGGGCCCUUCUCAUAGCAGGUCUGAUGUGGUCCACACUACUGAUAAACUAAUAGCUCGGCCAGACUCAAGAUAUUCAGCCUUUUCACAGCUAAUUCUUUGUCUUUUAUUUUUUUCUUUUGAAUGUCUUUCUGGCAAAGUUAACAACAAAAACCAUGAAAUGGUCUCCAAUGUACUAAACAGCUGUCUUGGAGAUCAGAAGGUGUCAGCAAAGCCCCUAGCAUUGUCUAAUCCCAAAGGAAGAUCUUGCUUAAGUGGAGAAGUGCUUGCAGCAGAAACCUUGGAAAUUUCAGGAGUGGAAUUUUUUUUUAUUGUCAGAAUUUUCAAUAAAAGUGCAGCCACAAAUCCUGGGAGCAUGAAAUAAAAUUUCCCAACAAGCUGUCUUACCUGCAUGCACUCCACUGAAGGCAAGGGCAAACACUGCUUCCAUGUCAGUCAAAACUCUGACAGCUAGCCUGUGAAGUUUGACGGGCUGCCAUGUGCUAGACUACCUAAGAUGCUCUUAACUGAGCCAUAAAAAGACAAAUAAAUUAGUAAUUGUA